rnacentral:rRNA from 1 species
CAAUAGCGUAUAUUAAAGUUGUUGCGGUUAAAAAGCUCGUAGUUGGAUUUCUGCUGAGGACGAUCGGUCCGCCCUCUGGGUGAGUAUCUGGCUCGGCCUUGGCAUCUUCUUGGAGAACGUUACUGCACUUGACUGUGUGGUGCGGUAUCCAGGACUUUUACUUUGAGGAAAUUAGAGUGUUUCAAGCAGGCGCACGCCUUGAAUACAUUAGCAUGGAAUAAUAAGAUAGGACCUUGGUUCUAUUUUGUUGGUUUCUAGAGCUGAGGUAAUGAUUAAUAGGGAUAGUUGGGGGCAUUCGUAUUUAACUGUCAGAGGUGAAAUUCCUGGAUUUGUUAAAGACGGACUACUGCGAAAGCAUUUACCAAGGAUGUUUUCAUUGA